rnacentral:lncRNA from 1 species
ACAGAACUCUUGUACAGUUAAUUUCAGCUUGCAGACCAUGGGCCUUUCUUUUCUUUGUUACCUUUCAGAGAACUCUAAAGAACUAUUUCAUAGUUGCCUCUGGGUCUACAGGUCACAAGCUGAAAAUGCAGCUCUGUGACCAGGGAAAAGGACUUCAGCUGUUCCCUGCUGAUGACCAAUGAGCUUUGAAUGACGGUUGAUAUAACUUGGGUGACGAGGUUUCUGAAUUACAGCUUUCGUCUGGAUAUCUCAAGGAGCUUGCAGGACUGCCGUUGAAGGACACUGGAGAUGUCCCCCCUUGAGUCUGCAAGGAGUGUCCGAUGAGAGAACCGCAGCAGCUGCUUGGGGCCCUCCUGCCCAGCAGUGAAAGACUGACCAGUACAAGCAUUUACACUGUUAUCCUGGGGCACGUCUGUCUCCGGAGAACAUUCAGUGUGAGCAAUGCUGAUAGCCUUCAGGAGAAAAUCAGGAGAGAAGGUACCUUAUCCUGUAUAAGCAGAAUUGCUGUUCUGUUGCCAUUUGUAAGACUAUGUCCAGAAAACCUAUCAGUUAUUGCUGCGAGAUGUAAACAGUGA